UCGUAAGUUCCCGGCGACAGCACCUCUGAAACCUUCAGUUAGUGACAGAACCAUUCCCAAAACGGACGGACGCUCGCCCCUCACGAUAAUGCAUUGAACAUUCGUAAAAAAAUUACGGACUAACAAUUUUGAAAUAAUCAAAAUAUACAUACUAUACUUAAGGAACAAUUCAAUUACUAAGUAUAUUUAAGGAAUAGUAAGGUCAUUUGUUUUUAUUGGGUUAGUGUAAGUGAGUUUAUAAGUGCUUGCGUCUAGCAGAAACUUUCUUCGAAGAAGUUAUUGCGAUAACGAUGUCAAAACUACUUGACUAAGAAACUUUGAUUUACAAUGGAAGUCAAGAUCGAAAGGCAUCACAUGUCCUAAAUAAAUAGGUAUCAUACAAGGGUUUCCCGUACAAAGCAACAUCAUGUCAGGAAUGGUGAAUGAAAAUAAUGAGCGGCAGCCGACAGCAUGGAGGCGAAUAUCACAAAAGCACCGCGUUGUGGCGCAGAAACGUCACUCUAUACCUCCAUCUAAUCAAGUAAACCGUAUGCUCAGAGACUAAAUUUGAAUAAUGAAUGGGGACACAGAAGAUUUCAAAGCGCGCGAAAUUAGAAUGGAUCUACCGAAAACAAUGUGCGCCGACGACUGCCAUAACGUCACCAAAAUAACAGCGUUCCAGCUUCGACCACCUGAUCCUAAUGCCACUUUCCUAAAUCGGCCAUUUAUAAAUGAAAAAGUCAACGAAAGUGAGUCGAUAAACCUCAGGAUGUCGUGGAACUUUAACGAUUCAAUCAGUGAGAUGUACGGAUUCGAUAUGACUCUAAACGGAACGUUCUGGAACUGUACUUCAGAAAAUGGAACUUGUGCUAGUGAUGUGCAUAAUUAUAACUUUUGGGCACUUUCGUUGUUAGUGUUCCCCUUAUUAACGUUAUUCGGAAAUGUUUUAGUUAUAAUGAGUGUGGCUAGGGAGAGAAGUUUGCAGACUGCAACGAAUUAUUUUAUAGUGAGUCUAGCUGUGGCCGAUUUGUUAGUAGCUGUGGUAGUUAUGCCAUUUGGAGUAUAC